ensembl:lncRNA
UGGAACUACAAAAAGCAGUAACCUCCCACACCACUGGGGACUGCCCAGGCAGAUCCUUUCAGUGACAGCUCCCAUCCACUGCACACACUUGAGUCAUACAAGAAUAAAGAAAAUGAAGUGAUACAAGACACUGCUCCCUUUCCAAUACUCCUGGCAAUUAUAAGAUGCAAAAGGAGUUUAUAUUUAACCAAGUGAAUCAGAGCUCACAGCACGGCCUGCUGUUUCAGAAUGAGGUGACGGCCCGGGGCUCGCCCUAAGCAGCUUUUAUCGGGGGAUAAAGGGCAAACCUCGACGUGGGUCGGGCUGUCCCGCAGGAUGGGAACGGCACGGACUGAAGCCGCUCCUCCUCAAGCCCUGACCCAGUUCUCACGCAGAGCCUUGGCAGCUCGCCGCAGCUAUCCACGUGUUUGAAAAGCAUCGAUCCUGAGUUACUUCUGGAUUGGAAUGCAGCUGAUGCUGUGAGGGGACAAGUCUUCUAAAGAGGCCGAGGAAUAAGAACUGCUCCUUCCCCAGUCCUUACAGCACUGCUCCCCACACUCGUGGGAAACGGCUCCUGCCGAGCGGUUCUCUCCUCUGCACUGCCCUCCUACCAACACACGUGCUGUGACUUUACAUCCCACUGCCAGUCCUCCAGCUUUAAUGCAGCUUCUAUUUAGCUCUAGCUACUUCACAGGGGAGAAAGAGUGUUAAAAAAACCCAAAAAGUGCAAGCCGGGCCCUGUAUAAAUAAUUAACAUUGGUUUAACAGCAUUCGUGAUUUUACUAUUAAUGUGCGCCUUGCUGCAGCUGCCCAGGCCCAGCAGUGAGAGCGCCCUGCUGGAGGGCAGCCCGAGUCAUCCCCAUGCCCUCCUGCUGGGUGGGUCACCACUGCCUGGAAAUCCUCUGUCAGUCCAUUCUGAAACCCCACAUAGCUUCCACCUGGCUCACAAACCGCUUCAGCAAAACCUCAACGAGAACAUUCCCCUCUGAUAACACUGGGGAGAGCAAAAGAAACAAAAAGGUCACCACUUCCUUAAAAUCAUUUCUCUUCCACUGCUUUACUGGAUGUGGACACCAGCCAAGCCCUCACCAAACC